UACGUAGGGGCAAGCGUUGUUCGGAAUUACUGGGCGUAAAGGGCGCGUAGGCGGCAUAGCAAGUCGGGAGUGAAAGCCCUGGGCUCAACCCGGGAACUGCUUUCGAAACUGCUAAGCUAGAGUGCGGAAGAGGCAACUGGAAUUCCCAGUGUAGCGGUGAAAUGGCGCAGAUAUCAGGAAGAACACCCGUGGCGAAGCGGCUCUCUGGAACGCAACUGACGCUGAGACGCGAAAGCGUGGGAGC
rnacentral:rRNA from 1 species